CACGUAGGGGGCGAGCGUUGUCCGGAUUUAUUGGGCGUAAAGAGCUCGUAGGCGGCUCAGUAAGUCAGGUGUGAAAACUCCAGGCUCAACCUGGAGACGCCACUUGAUACUGCUGUGGCUAGAGUCCGGUAGGGGAGCAUGGAAUUCCUGGUGUAGCGGUGAAAUGCGCAGAUAUCAGGAGGAACACCAGUGGCGGAAGGCGGUGCUCUGGGCCGGAACUGACGCUGAGGAGCGAAAGCGUGGGGAGCAAACAGG
rnacentral:rRNA from 1 species